UUUUUGCACCAGGGAUAAAAGUGGAAAUCCUCUCUGGUCUCGUUUUCAGAACGAGACCAGAGAGAUUGAAACGGAUAGCCCGGUCUCGC
rnacentral:sRNA from 1 species